UAAUAAACGAUGCAGCUGUCGCAUGUUCGAGAGUGAACACAAGACAUGUGUGUGAUGCAUAUACAUUUUAAAAGCAGCUGCUUCAUUUCCCCUCAUACAUACAUUGAAUGUUCAAUUCACUCAUCGAACGAGCAAUGAGCAUGUGGUAAACUCAGUCGUCGUUUCGCUUCCGACGCUAAAACAACAUUCAUAGUUCAGCAGCGAUGGCUCUUUUGCUCAAAUCGAUUUUAUUUCUCCAAAGUUGUAGUUGUUCCAGAAAAUUUACACAUAUUUUUCUCAACUCAAACAAUGUUCCAAAAUCAAUAGCAAGGGAAUAAAAGUUGGGGAAAAAAAAUUUGGUCCCAUACGGAUUCGAACUUUGGUUGAAAAAAUACAUCGGAACAGAGCAAAAAAGGGCGCAAAUGCAUAUAAGGUACUAUAAGGCACUAUGCAUUUUGAUGGUUGGGGGUUACCCUUUCCCCCCAGCAGAUGCUGAUUGAAUCACCGGGCAAAGUCAUUGAAUCAACAUCUGGUUGGCACUGAGUCCCGGUCAGACUUAAGGUCACUUUGAGCUCAACGGCUAACCCGCCGCCGUUAUCUGUACAUUGAUGGUAAUGAUUGCCAACGCUCUACCAUCUAAUCUAAGCUGUGCUGACCGAUGAUAAAAGUGCGCUUGGUAUGCAACAUAUGUUUUGACAGGUUUUCGAGCAUUUGCACGGUUUAAAUCAGUUGCAUUUGCGUAUUGACACCAAAUAAAAUGAUGUUUGCAUCGAAUCAUA